rnacentral:rRNA from 1 species
AUUAAAUUAUAAUUUUUUUAAUUAUGUUUAUAUGUAUUUACUAUUAAUUAAUUGUGUAAGGGGGCAUUAUUAUUUUUUAGUUAACACAUAAUUUGUACCUUUUGUAUCAGGGUUAAUUAAUUUUACAAAUUAGUUUAAUUUCUCGAAAAAGAAAGAUUUAAUUUAAUUAAUUUACUAAUGUUUCAUAAUUAGUACUUAAUUUAUUUUAGAUUUGAUAAAAAUUUAAUUUUUUUAUAUCUAGUUGCUUUAUUUUUAAUUUAAUUAAGUUAAUUCAAGUAUGGGGGUAUUUGAGUUAAUUAAAUUUAUAGGGAUAAGCUUGUAAAAUUGAUGAAAGUUAGGGGGUAAUUGUAUUUUGUGUCUUUAGAAAUAGGAAUCAUUAUAAUUUGUAAAAAUAAUUUAGAAAUAUUUAAUUUUUUGAAAAAAACUUUAAUUAGGGGGUAAAGUUAUAUAAAUUAAUAAAUAUUUUUGAUUAAUAAUAAUUAAAUUAGUAGAACAAAAAAUAUUAACUAAGAAUUCGGCAAAUAUAAUUUUCAACUGUUUACCAAAAACAUUUCUGGGGGGAAAAUAUUUUUGGUGUAGCCUGCUCCAUGCUUAUGUAAAUAGCUGCAGUAUUUUGACUGUACAAAGGUAGCAUAAUAAUUAGUCUUUUAAUUGAAGGCUUGUAUGAAUGGUUGAAUGUAAUAUUAUCUUUUUUGUUUAUAUGGGUAUUGAAUUUAAUUUUUGAGUUAAAAAGCUUAAUUGAUUAAAAGGGACGAGAAGACCCUAUAGAAUUUCAUAAUUAUUUUGAAUUUAAUAUUUUUUAGUUGGGGUGACUUGAAAUUAACUUUUCUUUUUUAUUCAUUAUUUGAUGAUUUUUAGAUCCUAAAAUGGUAGGUAUAAAGAUAAAAUUACCUUAGGGAUAACAGCAUAAUUUUUUUUUUAAGAACAUAUUUAUAAAAUAGUUUAUGACCUCGAUGUUGAAUUAAAUAUUAUAUAAAUGUAGAAGUUUAUAUAUUAAGUCUGUUCGACUUAAAUUAUUUACAUGAUUUGAGUUCAGACCGGCGUGAGCCAGGUUGGUUUCUAUCUUUUUAUAAUUUAUGUGGUUUAGUACGAAAGGAUCAACUAAUAAAAUUUUUAUUUAUUUCUAAGAAUAAAAUUAAUUUGACAUUACCUAUU